rnacentral:rRNA from 1 species
UAAUACGGAGGGUGCGAGCGUUGUCCGGAAUCACUGGGCGUAAAGGGCGCGUAGGUGGUUGGAUGCGCCGGUGGUGAAAGCGCAGGGCUCAACCCUGCGUCGGCCAUCGGGACGGUCCGACUGGAGCACUGUAGAGGCAGGUGGAAUUCCGGGUGUAGCGGUGGAAUGCGUAGAGAUCCGGAAGAACACCGGUGGCGAAGGCGGCCUGCUGGGCAGUUGCUGACACUGAGGCGCGACAGCGUGGGGAGCAAACAGGAUUAGAUACCCUGGUAGUCCACGCCGUAAACGAUGGGCACUAGGUGCUUGGGGGAGCGACCCCCUGAGUGCCGACGCUAACGCAUUAAGUGCCCCGCCUGGGGAGUACGACCGCAAGGUUG